AAGUUGAGGAGUAUUUCACCAAUUACAUCUUAAAUGACAGCUUGGGAAUCAUUUCUAAUGCUCACACCGUCUUUGCUGAUAGGGAACCUGCAAAAGCAAUGAGUAAACCAUGUCUGGAACUUGCAAGUAAAUUUUCAAUUGCAGUUGAUUUUCCAAAAACUGGAGUACCAGCUGAAAUUCAUUCUCAUCUACGUGUCAAAGAAUAUCCUGAUUUCAUGGAAAAGCCUGACAAACCCACCUAUGAAUCUCAGAAUGUGAUUGGAAAGCUUUUCCGAGCAGUGAGAGACAUUGCACCACAUACAAGCUCUAUUAAGUCCUUUACUUUGGAAGUGGCAAGGCAGUGUUAUGACCCUGAUAUGGAAGUUGAUGGUUUUGAGGAUUAUAUAGAUGAUGCCUUCUAUUACAAAACGAAUUAUGAUUACAAAUUGGGUAAUCAUAUGGACUAUUAUGGCAUCAGAACUGAGGCUGAAAUUCUCGGUGGAAGUAUUAUGAAAAUGUCAAAAGCUUUCACCAAGAAAAGGGACGCAGAAGCAAUUGGUUUGGCGGUGAGGUCCUUAAGAAAAGAAGCAAGAUCUUGGUUUAAAGAAAGGGGAAGUGGAUUAGAUUCUGAAGAAGAUGAUGUUUAUGCAAAAGCCUCCGCUUGGUACUAUGUUACUUAUCAUCCUAGUUAUUGGGGUUGCUACAACGAGGGAAUGAAUCGAGAUCAUUUUCUUAGCUUUCCUUGGUGUGUUUAUGACAAGCUGAUCCAGAUCAAGAGGAAGAGAAGGUGUCAAAAUUUAUCAUUGCUUGAACGCCAGUUUGGGCUUGGACUGCAUUUUCAUUAACAAAUGUGAAAUUUUGAACAUGUCUAUAUGUUCAUAGUCUUGGUUUGAGUUUGCCAGCUAAUCCAGAUCAGCGGAACAAAUCAAGGAUCAACCAGGUUCCUACUUUUUUCUCUUUACAGAUUUUCCAUGUAGAUGUGGACUGCUUUUGAGUUUAGAAGGUAAUCAAAAUAUAUGGCUAUACAUAUGGUUAUGAAUAUGUAAUAUUUCAAAGACAAUAUAUGAUGUAAAUGUUUAUGUUCAUAUAAUGGCAGAANNNNNNNNNNNNNNNNNNNNNNNNNNNNNNNNNNNNNNNNNNNNNNNNNNUUUUAUUUGCCUGAUUGUUGAUGCAUUAUCCAUAUUUAGGUGUUAUAUAGCCGUUUUGAGAUACAUGCUAUUCUAGUCGUGCAUGAUCGGUGUUUGUUUUUUUGCUGCAAAUAAUGGGUACUGAUAAUUUGAAUGUUUAACAACAUUUAUUAGUCAGUUUUUCUGGUAUGUAUAACAAAAGCUGCACUGCUAAUUGCUGAUAUGAUAGCUUUUGAUUAUGGCGAUUUUGGUUUCAGAAUAACAGUUAAUUGAGAUCCUUUUCCAUUGCUUGAAAAUGACAAGGGCAUAGCUUCAUGCAUUCUCUUGAGGAACCGUUCAAACAAUUCAUUAACAAUCUCAGCUCCAAAGUGUUUGGUAAUGACUGGUUCUAACCCAGAUUUGAAAUGCAUCAUGAUUGUAUAUUCAGUUGGUUGAUUAUCAGGGCUGCAUUCGCAAUCUGUAGGCUCCAUUCUUUCAAUGCUAAAACACCCACUUUGUUCUAUAAACUGUGUAAGCUCCUUGGGCGUUACACAGUACAAUGGAAUGUUGAAAGAGUCCACAAGUGCUUCACAUAUUAAUCCCUGCAAUCAGGAUUUUGAUUUGGUUAUUUACAUGUUUUAAAUUUUCAUGGGGUUUCACUGUUAUCGUUAAUAUUUAACUUUUCAAACUGUUAUCGUUAAUAUUUAACUAUUGACCAACUAUCAUUAAAAGCUGAUUUUCCAUUGCUGAAUCAAGCAGACCCCUAAAUCUAUAAUUUCAUAUAAUCCACUAGUCUAGUAUGUUUCUAUAUUGUUACCUCUUUUGCCUUGUCCAUGAGGCACGACCCUAAAUGAUUCAGCAAUAUCCCGAUUGGUACAUUCGACGGAGAGACCCCAUCAGGAAUAGAAGGAAUGAUUAUCACCAUCAUGCUUCCCUCUGCAAGUUCUUUUGCUCUGGCAUUCAAGAACAUUCCCAUAUCCUUGCUAAAUUGGGCAGCAAAGGCUUUCACUACUGCUUCUGAUGCACCUGUAUAGUGAACUCUCCCUCCGUUCCAUGCAGGAGAGUCCAUGUCGAACACCUCUUCAGGAACACCAGAAAGCCAAUGUAAUGUGUAGGAGGAAUGCACAAAAUGGAGAGACGAGUCAGGAAACAACUGGGUAUGAUAUGACCUUGGUACCCCUGCUGUAAAAUAUUUCCUGAGGUGGGAGAGACUUGAAAAGGGUAUUAAAGUCGUUAAAUGGAAGAUCAUUAAAGAAAACUUGAAACUGAGGUAUUUGAUCGUAAGUGAAGCCUUCAUUUAUGAACUUUCGCUCCACAGCUUCAAGUAUACUAUGAACAUAGUAAAAGGUGUUUGGUCCUGUUGAACAUCCCAUAUCAGCUAUACAAAAUGCCUUGCUACAUGAAGUUGAUAAAAAUGACUUCGUUUCAAGCUUCUCAUGGAUUGUCUCAUCAAUUAUUCCCUUCAUGAAUUCCAGAAUCCAUUUCUGCAAAAACGAAUUUAAACUUAAUCUUAAAAUACAGAAGUUUCUGCUAUCUUCUUUAAAUAUUUUUCAACAAAAAGAGAACACUACAACUACUUAGUGAUUUAGAAAGUAAAAUACCUGAUGGUGACUGAGGGAGCCCUUGGCAGCAGGCAUCUCGACGCCUAUCUUCAACUCUUCUUCUCUCUCACCUCCAUUUUUGCAUAUUUCAAAGAUUUAUAUUUAUAUGUAUAUGGAAUUAGCCGUCCUCGUAACAUAGAUUCUUUAUGUCCAAAAGAAUGACAUUUUCAAGUAACUCUUGCUCUAUGUCUUGUAGUCAUCAUCAGGCAUAAAGAAUAAGUUUCAGACAACAUCGAAAAUAAAAUUCAUUUUUUAAUUUGCAACAAUAUAUAUAUAUACUGAUACCAACAAAAUACAACAAAAUAAGCGUGUUUUAUGACUAAAGUCUAUGACUAUAGACUAUAGACUUUAAUUAAUGAACAAAAGACUUUAGACUUAUAAAAGACUUUUAAAAUAAAAGACUAAAGACUUUGAAAAUAAAAUGAUAAAGACUUGAAAACUUUAAAAACAAAGACUUACUUAUGCUUUUUAUUGUUUAUCGUAUAUAGACUUAUGUUUUCCAACAAAAACUUAAAGUUGAUAAAGACUUAUGCUUUUUAAUUUUUAUUGUAUAAAGACUUUAAAACUUGAUUUUAAACAAAGUCAUAUAUAUGUAGAGCGCUAAGAUUAUUACUAGGAUUUAAAUAAAUACAGAUACAAACAUUUAAAGAUAAAUCAUAACUGUGAACUAAAAUACUAUGAUUAAUUGGGUUUAUAUGAAUACUUAUAUAAUUCAUUAAAUAUAAUUUUACUUCAGAGUCAACACAAUAUUUCUGAUGUGGAAGAUCAGACUAAGCUGCAUCCACAGAGCAUACUUAUAACAAAUUUUAAUCAACAAUUUUAGCACAAAGGUUUAGGGUUCCUGCAACCUUAACCUAGGAUCCCCAGAAUUAAGUCAGAGUGUGGAGGGAGAAGAGAAAGGUGCCGUAAACACGGACUUAUAUUCGUAGCAGUUUAAAAUAAAAUACAAACUUUAUUUAAUUACAAAAUAUAAAUACAAGAUUUAAAACUUACAANNNNNNNNNNNNNNNNNAUAUAUAUAUAUAUAUAUAUAUUGUGAUGCAUUUAUGGUGAAAAAUAAUAACUGGGAAGAGGUAAACUUAGAACCAACUGAAGGGAAGUUAUCUCAAAAGAUCUACUAUUCUUCGAUGUCAGUACAGAUUUAGCUAUGAACAGGUCAGAAUGAAAACAAAAGAUUCGUAUAGUUUGAGAUUAAAGUUUAGUCGUAGCUAUAAUAAAAAUAUUUAUAUAUACAAUUGAAUUUAUAUUUAUUUUUCUUCUCUAACAGCAUAAUUAAGUGUGUAGAAGAUUUUCACAGGUACAGGUAUUAUUUUACUUGGAACGUAUAGUUUUAACUGGCAGCACUAGUUCGACUGGUUAAUUAUGCUAGUUUGUACUUAUUGGGAACUUGUUUACUAAUUGCUAUGCCAUUGACAAUUUCUGAUGCCACUCAAUAUGUUCUUUUAUGUUCAUAUAGGGGACGACCAAACUCUUGCUUUUUCGGGAUCUACAAUUACAAUGCCGUUUUGAUUUGUAAAAAGUCUUGCAUGUCUGUAUUUUCCUAGUCAGGGAAUUAAAAUUUCGACUUGGAGGCUUCACUUUGAUUACUAGCAAUAAUUUGAUAUGACGGCGGCGAAGUCUAGUUAUAGCUUUCCCAAAUAGUAGAGACUGAGGUGGAGUAAAUGGGUCCUUGUUGAUUGGCAUUGUGAAGGAAAAUGAGAAGGAACAAUCUACACAAACCAAGUUUUUUGUUAGAUCUUUGUCUUUUGAUAAAUAUUUUUUCUUGGAAUGAUUUCAAGCUUCCAACCUUCACAGUUCCCAAGAAGGCAGGACCGUCUUCUCGCACUGGAUCGAGUAAAAUUGGGCUAAUUUGUGUGGUGGGAGGAGGAAGACCAUGAAGAAAGGGUUAGAGAAAGACUUUUUAGUAUAAUCACGAGGGCAUCAUUUGUUAUUUUAAAAUAAUUUUCUCUCUUAUUUUUUCUUUUCAUCUUUUAACGGAAAACACAUAUUUUUGAAGGGAAGGAUCGAGACGGAAUCAAAUCAUGACGACUCAAUAUUUAAUAUACAACGAUAGGAGAUAGGAGAACAGGAUAAUUAAUUUUGUAAAACCUCAAAUUAUAAUAAUUAUUUUCAAAAAAAAAAAAAAACAGCACCUGAAAAGACGAGAUUGCAUAGCUGUAAUCGCCAUCUCCUCCAUUCAUUACACAUGCAUGAUUCCGCCAUUAACAUUUCCGAAAAAGCUUUAAAUAACUCAAUUCUCUCAAUAAUGAAGCAACUGUUUCUUUUUACAAGUUCUUGCACCUCCUUAGCAGAUGGAAUAUAAAAGGGGAGAUUGAACGAGUCCACUUGCACUUCUCUCACCAAUCCCUGUGCAUGUUUAAACAAAAAUGGAUUAAUUACAAUGGAGAAUUUCUUUAUGGGCGAGCUAUAACUUGGAAGGUCAUGAAUUUGAAUUGAAACAUUCAAAAAUAAGGGUAAGAGGCAAACAAUGGAGAACCUCCCAAAACCAUAUAAUAAGAUGCACAAAGAUAUCAAAUUUUACAAUAAGAUUACAGUAUGAUGAAGUAUAAUUGUAAUAACUGAUAUAAUUAAAUGUAUUUUUAGUAUAAUCACGAGUUCUGAAACUGACCUCUCUAGCCAUGUCCAUGAGGCUAGAUCCCAGAAUAUCAAACGACACGUUAAAUAUUCACAAGAAUGAGAAAUCCCAUCAUGGAUAGUUGGCACCACGAUUAAUAUAAUCCCACCAACCACAAGCUCUUUGGCUCUUGCAUCCAAAAAUAUCUCCAUAUCCUUUUCGAACUGGGUGGCGUAUGCUUUGCAUACUUCAUCUGAGGCACUAGUGUAGAAAAUUCUGCCCUUGUUCCAAACAGGAGAGUGGUUAUUUAGAAUCUCUUCUGGCAUCUGAGUUAGCCAAUGCAAUGAAGCGGAAGUGUGCAUUAGAUGAAGAGAGGACCUGGGGAAUAACCACCCAUGGAAUGACCCUGGCACGCCAGCAGCAAAGUAUCCCCUGUUUGGAUGUAGAGAUCUAAAUAGAGUAUUGAAAUCAUUCAAGACAUGAUCAUUGAGGAACACUUGAAAUUCAGGAAUUGGGGAAGCCAGACCUUGAGAAUGACACUUAUAUUUCACUGCUUCAAUAAUAUUUUCCAUACAAAUAAAGGUAUUUGGCCCAACUGAACAUCCUAAAUCCGCAAUGAACUUGAAGGACCAAAAAUGAGAUCGUUUAUGUUCAGAUUACGAGCAAUUGCCUCAUCAAUCAAACUUCCAGCAUUAUCAAUGACUUCCCUCUGCAAAUAAAGAUCAAAUAAUGCGAAAAAAAAAUUACAUAUAUUUCCUUUUACCAUUUUCUCUAACAUACAAAAUGAGUACCUGAAAUGAGGAAUUGUUAGAGUAGCUGUUGUCGUCAUCUCCUCCUUUCAUUGGAUAUAAUUCCACCAUUGACAUUGUGGCUGUGCUUUGGCUCGUUGUCUCUGUAUAAGCUAUGGGAUGGUUGUGGUGAGAAUUUUCGCAUCUUUUUUUACAUAUAUUAUUAUCAAAAAACUGUGUUAAAAAAUUAUUGUAAAAAGGGUUGUAGCCAUAAAGAGUAGGGUUCUGAUUCAAACUGAAUCAAAUCAAGGCAAAGAAUACUAACCGAAGUUUUUGGACAAUAGAUCAAAUCAAACUGAAAUUGGUAUCUGUACCAAAUCAAAUCAGUUGGUUCGGCCGGAUUUAGUUUGUUGCCAUAUCGAUUCAAUUUUAAGUUAAUUGAUGAAUUUCUAUAAAACUGACUUGAACUAAGUAAUAAAUUCGGUUUCAACAAAAUAAAUCGACAAAUUCGAUUCAAACCAAUCACUGAUCGAACAAAAUCAGAAUGUGUAGAUUUAGUUUAAGAUUCGAUUCGGUCGGUAAUAAAGAGUGGAAUUUUAAAACUUUUAAAAGAUAAACUAUUUUAUUUGUCAUAUAAAUCAAAGUGAUUUUGCGUUAAAAGUAAUGGCUUUCACUUUUAACGCAAAAUCACUUUGAUUUAUAUGAAAAAUAAAAUAAUUUAUCUUUUCAAAGUUUUAAAAUGUCUAUUUAUAAAAUAAUUAAAACUAAUCAAUUUAAUAUUUCUAAAAAAAAAUCAAUUUAUUUGAUAUCGAGCCGAUAUUAGAACCUUGAUAAGUUUAAAGUUUCCAAACCUAUAAUAAGCCUAAGAUGCUGAAAGACAUAACCAACCCAACAUAAUAAUAGCUAGCCUUUUAGCUAAUAAUUUCAUCAUAAAUAUCGGACCAUUCAUGUCCAUAUAAUAACCAAACAUUAACAUUAAUCAAUAUUGCGUUUAUGUCCUUUUAUAAAUUCUUUUGCCUAACUAUUAUUAAUAUUUUUAUAAAUUAAUAUUAGCUUGGCUAACAGACAAUGAUAGCAACAGCAAGAAAACUCAGCUAUCCUGUAAGUGCAUAAUUUCAUAGAAAAAAAAAAAAUACAAACCAUGUGCCGAAUUAGGUAAGCGUAGUGAUUUUCUCCAUUCACAUAAUAGAACACUCAGACAUUUUGCUUAAAGGAUUUGAGCUCUUUCCACUCAGACCAAUUGUUAGUUAAUUUUAUUGGACUUUCAAUGUUAUAAUAGGAUUUUAAUAUUUAUUCAAAUAUAUAAUCUCUCCUAUCUACUCAAUUUUAUUAUCAAUAUCAACUCUUACAAUGUGUUGCUGCUUAUUUAACAUUGAGAAGCAGGUCUUGCCCAUAUCAACAAGAAAACUUUAAAAAGAAAAUAUGCUUGUAAAUUAGAAAUCACAGAGAAUUGAUCACGCACGUUUUAGAGCAAGAAAUACUUGAGAAGUUUCUGCUAAGCUGGCCUGCAACUGGGAAGACAAUUCUUGCGUCUUCUUAAGAAACCGAUCAAACAAUUCAUCUAUAAUCCCACUUCAAAAUUUUGGCUAAUAAUUCAUCUUUUUCAGAUAAAAUAACUAGGACUCAAAGUACCGUGUCUUUCUUGUUCAGCAAUUGCUACAGUAAAAGUACAAAAUCUACUAGUGACAUUCUUGUGUAAGUAGGACUUAAUGGAAAAUGUCAUAGCUCCUAGUUUGUAUGAAAUUCUCCAUACAGUUCAUGCCAAUGCCUACUUUAUAAAGUGGGACAUGAUUUAUCACUGAUGAGAGCAUGGACUCUUAGACUGGAGAAACGAAUAUAAAACAGUCAACAACUUCAAGUUUUAUAAAAGAUGUAUGGAUUGAUUUGAUAUGUUUAUUUGAAAAGUUUAUCUUGAUUCCUAUAUCUUUUUCUUCUUGUCCUCGUUUGUUUUUUUGUGUGUGUGUGUGUGUGUGUGUUUGUCAGGACUUGGUAUUUAUGGUGGAUAAUAUGUGAAUGAGAUAACCAUAUUCUGAUAUUUGCCUUGAUAAAAACUUGUUUGAUGUGUCUUCUUUAUUUUUCUUCAAUUUGAUGUUUUCGUGACCUUAAGUUUAACUCUUAAUUAGAAAAACUUUGUUUAUUGCUAUGCAUGUGGUUCUACCCAUAGCUGUUUAUAUAUAAAUAUAUCUAUUUUUUCCCGAAGUCAUUUUGCCCACAAUUGGAUAUAACUAUAACAUAUUUCCAUAAAGGGCUUUAUAUAUCUCCAUUUUUUUUUUUUGGGCAGUUACAUUUUGCUCCAUCUCUCAAAGUCAAGCAAUUUCUUAAUUUUAAUAAAUUUGUUGUUUGUCCAGGACACAGCAAGGGCCAUUCUGAAGAAUGCUGCUGGCGUGGUGGUUAUUGAUGAUCGGGCAUCCAAUCACUUCCCAACGCCAUUGGAGAUAUCAAACAAAGAUGAUGUUGCAGUCGGUAGAAUCCGCCGUGAUGUUUCUCAAGAGGGGAAUCAUGGGUAAAACUCACUUGCAAGCUAUUUUUUUUUUUUUCCCACUAAAUAAUUAAAUAGCCUUUAUAGACCAUCUUACUAAUGCUGGAAUUCCAAGCAGGUUGGAUAUAUUUGUUUGUGGGGAUCAGAUACGCAAGGGCGCUGCACUUAAUGCCAUUCAGAUUGCUGAGUUGCUGCUAUAGUCCCCUUUAGUUUUAGUUUUAGGUUCCAUAUAAUGCUCUUAUUUAGUGUGAUGAGGCCAGGUGGUUUUGGAUCAUAAGCUAUUUUCUAGUCUUCACUUGCAGAUAUUCAUUGAUAUAAUGAGGUUGAGCAAAUUCGAAAAGUUCCUGUACUAUAAGUUUGUUACGUUGCCCCUUUGAAGUUUCACUUGAUUGUAUUCAUAUGCUCUGUCUUUACAAUGAAGUAAAAUUUUGUUAUAUUGUAUUCAUAUGCCAUAGCUGGACACUGUAUGAGGAUGUAUUGCAGUAGACUCAUUGAAUCUCAAUCUACUGCAAUGGGAUAUUUCUCGCUCGCAUAUUUUAUGUACAAAGAUUCUCUUACCAUUGAGUAAGUCAUAGCCUCCAAUCGGACCAAUCCACUUAACAAGAAAAGAUCACUAGUUGUUCUUUCUCUCUUUCUUUUUUGGAUUUGCAUGUGUGAUUUCAUAUUCGGGUCAGGACUGGUGUUCAGAUGCUCCGUGAAGACUGGUAUUAUAGCGACUCUUGGUAUGCUACCACAUUACUAAGCCUUAAUUUUUCACAGAAAUUGUGAUGAGGAUAUCGGAGAAGCAACUCAAGAAGCAGCGUCCUGUUAAACAUUUCGACAUUUUUCCUGAAGGAUUAUUCUGUGACCGAGGACACAAGCUCACUCCAAAAGUUUAUUCUCUUGUUACAUUUUUUAGGGUCAAGUUUGAACUAUACAUGAAAGCCGAUCCCACCUCUCAUUCACUAGCAAGUUGAGGAAUUGACUCUCCAUGGGAAGCAUAAUUAGUGAGAAUAGUUUUUAUUUUUCAUUUCAUGCAUUAGAAAUUCUUUUAUGGCACCGUUUGGAAAAGUUUAUAUGCAAUAAUUUUUCAACUUAUAAUUGUAUUAGAAGAAUUGAAUUUCAUUCUUAUAAUCUUAUGUAAAAAUUGUUUCACGUACCAUGUAAAGCGGUAAUGAAUUCAAUUUAUUAUUUUAUUUUCUUCAUUAUCUAUGUUUAUUCAAAUAAAUUCAAUAAUAAUCCGAAUGAAGUAGUUCGGUGAUAAAGAAUACUUACGGAGUAAAUCACUAUGAUUUGAGUCAUAGGUUUGAUCCUCCGUCAACGCAAAUUUUUCUGGGCCAAUCCUUUUGCCUCCAAAAGCGAGUAAAAAUUAAUUAGAUUUGUGGGUUGUCAAAAUGGACACGGGCCGAAUACUUCGAGCAAUGCCUCAAUUUGACAAUUAACUUCUGAAAGGGUUUUGGAUUGAUUGACAUAUGUUGUUUAAAUUUGUAACUAUAUUCUACAUUUUUUUUUUUUUGCUUGUCAUGUUUAAACAGGAAUCUAAACACAGACACCUGAGAGAGUAAACUAAUAUUUUUAUUUUUCUUAUUGAUAAAAAACUAAAUAAAUCUAAUUAAUAUUAGUUACAAAUAAUUUCUUUUAAUAAAUUUCGCUUGCUUAAUAAAAAAUCUCAUAAAUAAAAUUUCCUUGUGUUAUUUAAAUUAAAGACAUAAAACGAGUAAACUAGCCAUCCUAUUCCUUCCCUCGUAGGAAUCGGAGAUUGGCCACUUACGCAGUCAAAGCAAAAGCGGUUGAGUUGAGUUGAGAAGGAUGGAUGAUUAAAAACGGCGUUAAGGUUUUAGCUAAGGUCGUCAACACUUGAUAACUUCAUCUUCUACUUCACGAGGAAGUUUAAACUUUCAAAGAAUAAUUAUUUAAGGUAACGACAAAGGUUCUCUCUUGUGGAGAGCAGGAUGAGGUGGCCCCUUCCUUCCUUGCAAUUAGCAAUGAUAGAAAACCUUAUUUUCCUUUGUCCUUUCCAAGUUUCUUCUAUUUCCAUAAAAUACAUAAGGAACGUUUACUCUCUUAUCCAUGUAAAUACUGUAACAUUUACAGUGGUGUUUAGAUUUUAAGAGGAGGAAUAAUGAAAUGUUAUUUUUUUAAAUAUUUAAUAAAACGCCAAUAAAACAAUUCAUGGUUAAAUAUUAUUAAAAUAACGAAAUUUACACCGUCUUUUUUAGAUAACUUUCUAAUAAAUUUUUAUUUAUUUAUUGAAAUACCUUGAUAUUUUAAAAAUUGUUACUUAUUAAAAAAUGUUAUUCAAAAUCUUCUAAAAGAACAUUUUAUUCAAACUAAAAAAAUCACUCAUUUAACACUGUUUACAUUAAUUAACUAGUUAUUUGUUCUAAUAGGAUACAAGUUACCUUGAAUGAUAAUUAACUUAUUUCAACUAAGACAUGAAGCGGAAUGUUAGAAAAUCGUGAGUUAUCUAUUUUGAUAAAAGAAAAUAGUUAUCCUAGUUCUAUUUGAUACCUUUUUUUUUUCCUCAAAUACUUAUUAUAUUUAGAUAUUUCACUUCUCUUAAUUAAGAAAAUCAUUUAAUUUAUAAUAAAUUAUUCAGUGAGUUUAUUAUAUUAUUUUUAAUUUUUUAUUUGAGUUAAAAUCAUUCAACUGAUAUUGAUCAUAAUAAAAUAAAAAAUUUAUUAUUUAUUAAAUCCAUGAAUGUAAUAAGUAUUUAAUAUAUAUAUAUUUUUAAAUUUGACAAGUACUUGCGGUAAUGGUUUUUAGGGUAAAAAUUCAAGAUUUGGAAAUGGAGACAUUUUUUGAAACUUGCAUGUAAGAUUGCAAGUGAUUGGAUAAAUUGGUAUCAGAGACCGCGAUGUAUUCACGCGGAGGAGUGGUCCCAAUAAACGGGACAAUAAUAUGGGCUUUCACUAUAGUGUAUCCGGACUACAAGCAUUAUAUAAACACUAUCCAAUAGUUUUUAUCCACGUCAGCAAAUUCAAGCAGUAGCGUCCGUUACUUACCGCGUUAACGUAUGUCGACGUCAUAAUAAACGUCAACCUAGAAAGAGUGCUGCGAUGGAGGGAAUCAUGGCUUUUUUUUUUCUUCUUGUGUACGAGGGCAACACAGUGUCACAGAGAGACUUACAUUGACUGAUUGGAGAAAAAGCAGAUGAAAAUUUGCUUGCUCAAAGACAGAGAAAGAGCGACUUGAAUGUGAAACUGUUUCUAUCGCUGGUUUCGUUUCUGGUUUCUUGGAUGAGAACUGAAGUGGUUUAAUUUGAGUGAGCGAGUGAUAAUUUGGUUUCUUUAUUUUACUUUUCUGGUAAGGUCUCAAACCUUUAUUUGAUUCUUUGAUUGCUUUCUUUCCAAGUAUAAUUUCCAGAAUGUGGAUACAUCCAUUAAAAAAAGUUUUCAUCCUUAUGCUAAAUUUUACUUUUUUUGGGAGUCUGUUUUCUUUUAAUUUUUAGAUAAAUGAGAUUGCUUUAUUAGCCUCUUUAGUGUAGGUGGCUUUGAUUCUGGAAUACAUAUAUUAUUGAUGUACUCUAUGAGUGUUUUGUGUUAUCAGAUUCGUAGUUGAUUUUUUUUUUUUUUGGCAAUUCUGUGUUUUCUUUUACCAAUAUAUCCAUCUCUCUCUUCUUGUGAAAUUUACUUAGAAAAGGUGAUUCGGUUAUUUUAUUUAUAUCGGCUUGCAAUAGCUGGCAUAUAAUUGGGGCAUUGUGGCUAUAUCUGACAAGGAUCGAUGUGGUAUGGUUUUUGAUAAAGAUUAAUGAUGGAAGAGUAAUAAAAGGAUAAACUUGUUAAUGAUUCAAAAACCAUGCUUGGAUGCUGAACGCAAUUUUAGGUUUUUAGAUUGAGUGAUUUUCAGCUUUUAGCAGUUCUUGAUGAUAGUGUAGUUAUAAGCAUUGUUUUGUUUUUCUUAUUUAUUUCAUUGCAGUGUCUUAUAUUUUUUUGACAUAAGCUAUAAAUUUCAUCACAUCAAUCUGAGUAAAAUGCUUGGCUUCUUUGUGCAUUCCAUUGUUUUUGUGUUAAAUGCAAUGCUAUUUUUUCUUGCCUCUGUUGCUUUCCACAUAGAGUUUGUGUUUUCAAUGAUUCUAUUUAAUCUCGAAUAUUGAUUUCAUUUCAAAAUCGUUAUACUUCAGGUUGUGGUUAACAUGUAUUUGGUGCUGAUUCUGGACAUGCGUGUAAACCCUUUGAUUCUCCACAUUUGUUCGGAGUUCAUAUUUAGAUUAUGCUGAUAUAAUUAUUCAUUAAGGAAGCCAUUGAUUAAAUUCAUAACCAGCACAUGGUGGAUCCUGCAUUAUUUUGCCAUAGUAGUUACAGAGUCAUAUUUGGAAGCUUGUGGGGGUCUGUUCAUAAUCACGAAAUUUUUAUUUAUAAGUUAUUACCUUUCAUAUUUUCUACAUUGGAUUAGCUUUAUGAUUGACCGCAUGACAAUGCCUACAAGAAAGUUAUACUCAGAAUCUUUGAUCAUUUACAUUGUGGAAGUGCAUAUCUCCCUAAAAAUUUCGGAGCGUUAGUAUCUGUAGUGGGUGAUUCAGUUUGUUCUAUUUUGACUACAGAAUUUCUUUGAUGGGUAAGACGAUUCAGGUGUAUGGAUUCCCUUCCCAUGUGACUGUAGAUGAAGUCAAGAAGUUUCUGGAAUCACAUUCAGGGGAAGGAACUGUUUUUGCAAUGAAGAUCAGGGAAACCAAAAAUAGGGGUCGAAGAAAAUAUGCUAUUGUUCAAUUCCAGACUGCCAGAGAUGCUGAAUUAAUUAUAUCUUUGACUAAUAAACGUCUUCGGUACGGCACUUCAUAUCUCAAGGCUCGGCCUUUGGAUAAUGAUAUUGUACCAAAGCCCAGAACGUUUUUACACAGCAUGGACCAUAUAACACUGCAUUUUGGAUGUCAGAUAUCAAAAGAAAAGUUUUCUGUUCUAUGGACAGGGACAAAUGUUUCGGUGAAUUUUGGAUUUGGAAUGAGAAAAUUGCAAUUUUUUCUAUCUCAUGGACAAAUGGGCUACAAGCUUGAACUUUCUUAUGAGAAUGUUUGGCAGAUGGAGCUACAUUGUCCACGAGGUCGAUCUGUGAAAUAUCUUCUAAUUCAGGUUUCUUCAAUAUAUUUUAUUUAAUUUUUGGAUUAUUAAAUACCGUUUCUUGAUACUCUUACAGCAUUUUUCUCUGUUAUUUGAAAUUCUUUAUAGGGCUUUUUCGAACCUUGGAAAUGCCUUUUUUGCCCUGUUAUUUAUUGCACGGAUGAACUAUGUUUUCCUUUUACAUAAACAAAUUGUUGAGCUGCAUAGUGGGCAUAGUAAUUAAAGGCGCAAGGGGCACCUAUGCGCAAAGAGCUAUUGGAGCCUAGGUGCUAGCCUGAGUGAAGUGAGGCGCGAAAAUUAGAAAUAAAUAAAACACAUAAACAAAAAAAAAGGCAACAAGACAAGUUAUAUUGUAAGAUAUUGGAGUUAAGAUAGAAAAGUAAAAUCACGAAAUGAAAAAAAGAAAAAAAAGAAAGAAAGAAUAUAGAAAGCAAAUUGGAAGAGAAAUUGAGAGAGGCAUGUCUGAAUGGCUGUUAGCCAAAGGCUAGACUGGAGGGGGUGAGUGCUAGAUGGAGUGGAGGCUGGAUCUAAAGCAUAUCAUUGGUUUUUGUGAUAUAAUGACAAAGGAUUCAUAUGCCCAACCUCAACUAGUUUGGGGUUAAGGCCUUUAUUGUUGUUAUGUUGUUGUAGUAGAUACUGGGCUAGACAGUUUUAUAUUCAAAGGCGACUUGUUAAAACAAAAAUUAGAAAGACGGGCCUUUCUUGGGCCUAAGGCCGAAAAAGGCCCAAAAAGGCUAGUCGCCGGCCUGCGGACUGUUGAGUCAUAAUCCCUUGAAUUUGAAGUUGAACCUUAAGUAAGGCAUGAGGCACGCCUUUAAUGAGUAUGAUGGUGUGAAAAUGAAUUCUCUUAUUAGUAGUAAAUUGAACAAUUUACUUAUAUCUCGGUUACGACUAAAGCAUGAUACAUGCAUGUAUUUUUUUUUUCCUUGCCAUAUGUGGUGUUAUCAAGAAAAUUUGGAUAUUCCUAUUGGUUUGCUUGAACUUUCUGCUGGCUUUUCUAACAGACUGAAUACCUUUUUGAACUAAUAAGUUAAUUAUUUGUUUCUUUUGGUGUCCAAACAUGGGCUUAGAGUUUUCGCUCAUUCGUGGUUUUGAUUUCUUACAUAUGUGUGUCUGCAGUCUGAGUCUAAUUGUUUUAAUUGACAAUUUUUCUACUGGUCAGCCGUGCAUUAUAUAUUUCAGGCAAAAUAAUUAGCAUUCGGAAUAUAGAAAUUGUGCUGAUUAACUCAGAAAGCGUUAAAGCAGUGCUAUUGUUUGACAUGUAUUGAUGUCAAAUAUAUGAUCAGAGACUGGUUUUUAUGCAUGUGAGGGUAUAAAGCACUAGGCACUUGUUAAAAAUUUAAAAUCUUGUCCAAACUCUUGACUGAUGUUUGCUGGUUCUUUAAUCAUUCUGCAGAUAUUUUAACUCUUUUAGAUUUAAGUGAUAUGCUUUAUCUUUAGUUCUCAAUCUUUCAUGCUUCACUGGUCUUCUGCACAUGGUCUGUGCACGUGUCGUUACCCACCUCUGUUUAAAUAACUUACCGUUUAUCCAAAAACUAGCAAAAUAAGGUACUCUUGAUGGAUAGGGGCACAGAGAUUUUAAUAUGGUUUUAUCAAUAAAAUUGGCAAACUUUCUAUCUCAGGGAAUUUGAAAGAGUUGUCCCUUGGUUAAGUUUACUAAUAUGAGGAUCUUAUCAGGCAAGAUAGCUGAAUUCCUUUUUCCUGCUGGUAGAAAUGUGGCAUUUGUGAUUCACUGACUUGCCAAAAUAAAUGGGAAGUGGAAUCUAAGGCCAAGGGUUUACUUACUUGGGAAUUGAAAGGUGCUUACUGUUUUGCUGAAUAAAAAAAAGCUGUAUGUCAUGUAAAAAGUUUCCCUUUUCCUUAUUUUUCUUUCUGUUGGUAAUUUGUGCUUUUAUUGGGUUCAUUUAUGUCAUUAGUCUGAAUGUGAUGCAUACAAUAAUCAAACAAUUUGUGCUAUCUCUUUUUUCAUGUAAGAUUUCAAGUAAAAAUGCAAACUGCUAAUUUGGUUUCUGUUUUUUUAGUUAUAUGGUGCACCCCGAAUUUUUGAGAAAGAGAUUGCAACAUUUAAUGUGUUUGAGAUUCCGCUUUUCAACGACUUGAAGGAUACCCCUGAUGAGCAAUGGGUCAGGACAAUCGAUUUCACACCAUUCUGCCUUAUUGGGCAUUCAUCUGGAUUAUGUUUGGAGUUUCCUUCCAGCAUUAAUGUUCCAAAAUUUCAGGAGAACUUUUCUUACUAUAAAGAAAGUGAAGGAAUUUUUGUUUUGGAGAAUGGCAAUGCUUUUUCUCGCAAUCUGGAUCUAGUUCCGAUUGUUGGUCCUCCCUCAGGCGUUGAUUUGCCAUUUGAGAUAUUAUUUCGAGUUAAUUUGUUGGUUCAGAAUGGGUGCCUUCCAGGGUCAGCACUUGAUUCUAGUUUUUACGAGUUGGUUGAUCCAAGUACAAUGAAUAUUGACUGCAUAGAGCAUGCUCUUAAGAAGCUUUUUCACUUGAAAGAAUGUUGUUAUGACCCUUCUAGGUGGCUUGAUGAGCAGUACAGAAAGUAUCUUAAGUCUAAGUGCCAUCCAAGAUCACCUUCGAUAUCCCUAGGCUCUGGUUUGGUAUACAUGCGUAGGGUCCAAAUUACACCAUGCAAAGUCUAUUUUUGUGGUCCAGAGGUUAAUGUCUCAAACCGUGUGAUACGCCACUAUUCAAAAGAUAUUAAUAAUUUUCUCCGUGUGUCUUUUGUUGAUGAGGAGUUAGAGAAAAUUUAUUCAACAGAUUUAUGUCCCCGUGCUUCUUCUGGGAAUGGGGAUAGGAGGACUGCUAUUUACAAAAGGAUUCUCUCUACUCUCCAAAAUGGAAUAGUUAUUGGAAAUAAAAGGUUUGAGUUCCUUGCCUUUUCAUCUAGCCAGCUGAGGGAAAAUUCUUGCUGGAUGUUUGCUUCAAGAGACGGGCUCACUGCUGCAGAUAUAAGAGAAUGGAUGGGAAACUUUCGUCAGAUACGAAACGUGGCUAAAUAUGCAGCCAGAUUAGGUCAGUCUUUUGGUUCAUCCACUGAAACACUGAGUGUUAGUAGAAAUGAAAUUGAAAUUCUUCCAGAUGUAGAGGUUGAAAGGGGCAGAACCAAAUAUUUGUUCUCUGAUGGAAUAGGCAAAAUAUCUGCUGAGUUCGCUCGGAGAGUGGCGUUGAAAUGUGGGCACCAAGGUUUCUAUCCAUCUGCAUUUCAAAUUCGUUAUGGUGGGUAUAAAGGUGUUGUGGCUGUUGAUCCAACUUCUUCUAAAAAAUUAUCAUUGAGAGAAAGCAUGUGCAAGUAUGAGUCUGAAAAUACAAAACUGGAUGUUUUGGGUUAUAGCAAGUAUCAGCCUUGUUUUCUGAAUCGCCAAAUGAUUACUCUUCUUUCGACCCUUGGUGUUGCGGACCAUAUCUUUGAGAAGAAACAGAGAGAAGCUGUUGAUCAACUAGAUGCCAUUUUAACAAACUCGUUAAGGGCCCAAGAAGCACUAGAUUUGAUGUCUCCAGGAGAGACCACUAACAUUCUCAACGAAAUGCUUUUGUGUGGUUAUCAGCCUGAUGCUGAACCAUUCCUUUCAAUGAUGCUCCAAAUGUUCCGAGCAUCAAAGUUGCUUGAUCUGCGGACAAAAUCUAGAAUCUUUGUUCCAAAUGGAAGAUCUAUGAUGGGAUGUUUGGAUGAGACAAGAAACUUGGAAUAUGGCCAGGUAUUUGUGCAAUUUUCUGGUAGUAAACAUAAGCAGGUGUAUGAUAGUUCCACCAUGGUUGGAGGCAUUGGAUCAGGCAACGGUUUUGUGAUUGAGGGAAUGGUCAUUGUAGCUAAAAACCCAUGUCUGCACCCAGGUGAUAUUCGUGUUUUAAGGGCUGUGAAUGUACCAGAUUUGCACCAUAUGGUGGACUGUGUUGUUUUUCCACAGAAAGGACCAAGGUAUAUCUCUGUCUCUUCCAGCCUUAUAGCUUAGGUCAUUCUUUAGUUACGUCAAUUUGGUUUCUGGUUUGAGUUGUCUGUGCCGAAGUUCUAUAUUUAUAACUUAGAGUUCUUAGAUUUACUUUUCCAGUUGCAUUUGCAAAGGGUUCAGAUUUGAAAAAUAUAAAAAUCCCUGCUUUUUUCAUGCAAGACAGAGGAAUUUACCUUUUAUCAAAAGAGAACUUGGAAAUAUGCUCUCUUCUUGUCUACUUUCCAAUAUCAUUUCUCUAUUCUCCAAUGGGCUCUGAACCACAAAGUCCCAACUUUAAAGAUAGCUGGACUCAGUUAUAUAAGAAUGAGAGAGGGAUAGAAAGUUGUGUAUGUGCAGCUAUGUUCCUAUAGAUGUUUAAGUUCUUAUCUUCUGGGUGUCUUUCACAGCGGAUUGAACCUUAUAAUAUCAUUGUUGUUAUUGUAGUUAAUCAUUAUUGCUGUUAUUAUGAUGUUCGCUGUCCAUGUUAUCAUCAUCUAUAUGAUAGUUCUACUUCUGUUGUGUCUGCCUAUGUUUGGGCUAUUUUGGCCUACUUCUGUGGUAUUACUGUAGGAAACUAGUUGGGUUGUGAGAUAACUAGGUCUGUCACAUCAGCUAUAAUGAAUUCUUUUCUGUAAGAUAACCACUCCCUUCAAUGAAUGUAACUGGUAUCUGUGUUCCCUUUUAUUAUUUGACAUGUGCAGUAGGCUUCUUGUGGAUAACAGUCGAACGUACCAAUGGAAACUCCUGCUUCCUUAGAAAUACCUAGUCUAUAUUCUGUGGACAUUGCUUCAUCAUCUCUGAUUUAUUUGUCUGAUGAAGCUGACUGACAGAGGCAGGUUGUUAUUAUUGUUUCUAUUUUUUUUUUUUUGUGGGGGGGCGGGGGUGGGAAAGAGAGUUUGGUGGUUGGAGGUUGCAGGGGGAAGACUCCUGUGCUUUGGAAUUUCAAUUGACACUAACAUGGACACCUCACCUCUCUUUGUUUUUCAAGUGCUAACAGAGUAACAGACUAGUAUUAUAGUGCCCCUUUUCAGAUUUUUAUUUUUAUUUUUAUUUUUUAUGUGUGAAAACAGUAUUAACAUUAGUAUCUGAAUUGCAAUUUUAGACCUCAUCCAAAUGAAUGCUCGGGUAGUGAUUUAGAUGGAGAUAUCUACUUUGUCUGCUGGGAUCCUGAUUUAAUCCCACGUCAGCAACUCCCACCAAUGGACUAUACACCACAGCCAAGUUUGCAACUCGAUCAUGAUGUCACAAUUCAGGUACUACAUGUGUACAUAUGAAAUGUCGGAGCAAUUAUCUAUCAUCAACAAUAAUACUAUUGUUUCGCUAUCUUUUAAGAUUAUUCAGUCACUUCAUCAAUUUUUUUCUCUUCUAUGGUACAUUCUGGUAUUGUCAAACAUAAAGCUGCAAUGCUUCAAAAAUACAUACGUUCCUUAAUUUUUUUUUCUUUAUGACAGAGGAUUUAGUUUUGUACAUAGGUUCAAUACUAAUAGGUGUUUACUUUUAAUUUUUGUUUUUCCUUGUGGUGCCUUUAUUUCUGUAUUAUGAUGACUUUACUCCACCUGCAUCUUUUAUGUGUCAAAAGUCUUUUUUUUUUUCUGGAUUAGUUUGCUCUUAUGUGUCUAUAGCAUAUGCUAAUAGACAUGCAUAUGGAUUUUUCUUAUUAUAUAAAGCAAGAAUUUACACAAUUUACAAGAAAAAUAAGAAGCAGAUGGAAAGGGAAUUGCUGAUUAUCUUGUUUUCUGAAUCUCAGGGAAGCUGCAAAAGCAAACUUUGGCCCGGGCCUUUUUAAUUUAUGUGACAAUGAUAUCUUGUACUUUUUAAUUCUUUUAGCUAUCUCAUUUGUGCAAUUUUAAGCAAAAAUCUAACUGUUUUUUUUGGUCCCUCUGGGCACAAUGCUUCAUUUUUGUGUAAAAGUGGAUGCUUCAAACUACAACGCAAUGUAGUUCAGUCCAAGAGGGUCAUUAUUCUAUCAACCUCAUAACUAGUCCUUUUUUUGAAUGCUUAAAAAAAAAAUAAAAAAUAAAAGGAAAUGUGAUUCUGAAAAAUCCUUUAGAACAGUGAAAUCUUAGGUUGUGUACCUGUAUGCAUCAAGUUCUAACUGCAAACUCUGUUUUUUGCUUUAGCUUGAUUUUUUUUUUUUUAAUCAUGCAGCUAGAAAACCGCAUUUCCCUUUUAUUCAGAGAUUUUCAUUUUGCUUUCUACAGGAAGUUGCGGAGUAUUUCACCAAUUACAUCUUAAAUGACAGCUUGGGAAUCAUUUCUAAUGCUCACACCGUCUUUGCUGAUAGGGAACCUGAAAAAGCAAUGAGUAAACCAUGUCUGGAACUUGCAAGUAAAUUUUCAAUUGCAGUUGAUUUUCCAAAAACUGGAGUACCAGCUGAAAUUCAUUCUCAUCUACGUGUCAAAGAAUAUC
rnacentral:lncRNA from 1 species